GACGAACGCUGGCGGCGUGCUUAACACAUGCAAGUCGAACGGAAAGGCCCUGCUUUUGUGGGGUGCUCGAGUGGCGAACGGGUGAGUAACACGUGGGUAACCUGCCCUUGACUUUGGGAUAACUUCGGGAAACUGGGGCUAAUACCGGAUAGGACCUCCUGCUGCAUGGUGUGGGUUGGAAAUUUUCGGCGGUUGGGGAUGGACUCGCGGCUUAUCAGCUUGUUGGUGGGGUAGUGGCUUACCAAGGCUUUGACGGGUAGCCGGCCUGAGAGGGUGACCGGCCACAUUGGGCCUGAGAUACGGCCCAGACUCCUACGGGAGGCAGCAGUGGGGAAUAUUGCACAAUGGGCGGAAGCCGGAUGCAGCAACGCCGCGUGCGGGAUGACGGCUUUCGGGUUGGAAACCGCUUUCGCCUGGGACGAAGCGUGAGUGACGGUAAUGGGUAAAGAAGCACCGGCUAACUACGUG
rnacentral:rRNA from 1 species